rnacentral:rRNA from 1 species
CCUACGGGUGGCAGCAGUAGGGAAUAUUGCUCAAUGGGGGAAACCCUGAUGCAGCAACGCCGCGUGGAGGAUGAAGGUUUUAGGAUUGUAAACUCCUUUUGUCAGAGAAGAUUAUGACGGUAUCUAACGAAUAAGCACCGGCUAACUACGUGCCAGCAGCCGCGGUAAUACGGAGGGUGCAAGCGUUACUCGGAAUCACUGGGCGUAAAGAGUGCGUAGGCGGGGUAAUAAGUCAGAUGUGAAAUCCUGUGGCUUAACUACAGAACUGCAUUUGAAACUGUUACUCUGGAGUGUGGGAGAGGUAGGUGGAAUUCUUGGUGUAGGGGUAAAAUGCGUAGAGAUCAAGAGGAAUACUCAUUGCGAAGGCGACCUGCUGGAACAUUACUGACGCUGAUGCACGAAAGCGUGGGGAGCAAACAGGAUUAGAUACCCCGGUAGUC